rnacentral:rRNA from 1 species
GAUGAACGCUAGCGGCAGGCCUAAUACAUGCAAGCUGAACGGCAAGAUCUUUAGCAAUAGAGGUCCUAGAGUAGCGUAAGGGUGCGUAACACGUAUGCAAUCUACCCUCAACAGGAGGAUAGCUCCCCGAAAGGGGAAUUAAGACUCCAUAAUAUGAUUGACUGGCAUCAGUUGAUUAUUAAAGUACAAGCGGUUGAGGAUGAGCAUGCGUCUGAUUAGUUAGUUGGUGCGGGUAACGGCCCACCAAGACGAUGAUCAGUAGGGGAACUGAGAGGUUGGUCCCCCACACUGGCACUGAGAUACGGGCCAGACUCCUACGGGAGCAG